CCUACGGGAGGCAGCAGUGAGGAAUUUUCUGCAAUGGGCGAAAGCCUGACAGAGCAAUACCGCGUGAGGGAUGAAGACUUACUGAGUUGUAAACCUCGGUGCCUUAAGGAAGAAGAUCUGACGGUACUUAAGGUGGAAAGCAUCGGCUAACUCCGUGCCAGCAGCCGCGGUAAGACGGGGGAUGCAAGUGUUAUCCGGAAUUACUGGGCGUAAAGCGUCUGCAGGUGGUUUUAUAAGUCUGCUGUUAAAUCUGAGGCUCAACCUCAAAUCUGCAGUGGAAACUAUAAGACUUGAGUAUAGUAGGGGUAGAGGGAAUUUCCAGUGGAGCGGUGAAAUGCGUAGAUAUUGGAAAGAACACCGAUGGCGAAGGCACUCUACUGGGCUAUUACUGACACUCAGAGACGAAAGCUAGGGGAGCAAAUGGGAUUAGAUACCCCAGUAGUCCUAGCCGUAAACGAUGGAUACUCGAUGUUGGACGUAUCGACCCGUUCAGUAUCUUAGCUAACGCGUUAAGUNUCCCGCUGGGGNGUACGCGCGCAGAGAGAACGUACAAGAGUAGUAGACGNGAGAGAGCGACGACGACGACGACGGAGGAGGAGG
rnacentral:rRNA from 1 species